rnacentral:rRNA from 1 species
CCAAGGAGUCUAGCGUGUGCGCGAGUCAUUGGGUAAAAAACCUAAAGGCGCAAUGAAAGUGUCAGGGGACCUCUGGUCUCUGAUGGGAGGAUGAGCUCCCGGCCCUUGGGUCGGUGCUCCGCACUCCCGGGGCGUUUCAUUCUCAUUUUGAGUUGAGACGCAUCUAGAGCGCAUGCGCUGUUACCCGAAAGAUGGUGAACUAUGCCUGAUCAGGAUGAAGCCAGGGGAAACCCUGGUGGAGGUCCGAAGCGAUUCUGACGUGCAAAUCGAUCGUCUGAGUUGGGUAUAGGGGCGAAAGGCCAAUCGAACCAUCUAGUAGCUGGUUCCCUCUGAAGUUUCCCUCAGGAUAGCUGGCUCUCGAGAUGAUCUAGUCUCAUCCGGUAGAGCGAAUGAUUAGAGGUGAUGGGGUCGAAACGACUUCAACCUAUUCUCAAACUCCCAAUAGAUGAGAGCCCCGGCUUGCUUGAAAGUGAAGCCGUGGGAUUUGGAUAAGAGAGGCCAAGUGGGCCAAUUUU